CGUACUGGUGUUACUGGUUCCUACCUUCUGACGAACCAUCAUGUCAUUAAUUUGGUGUGGUGGGGAAUCAGGACUGUUACUUUGAAAAAAUUAGAGUGUUUAAAGCAGGCUCGCGCUUGAAUACAUUAGCAUGGAAUAAUGAAAUAGGACGUUGAUCCUAUUUUGUUGGUUUCUAGGAUUGACGUAAUGAUUAAUAGGGAUAGUUGGGA
rnacentral:rRNA from 1 species